ensembl:lncRNA
CACACUUGUGUUUCUUCUUCUUCUUCUUCUUCUUCCUCAUCUGGCUGAAUGUGAUUGGACGAGGGUUUGUGCCUGAUUGCGGUUAAUUCUGUGCUUAAUGGGAACACAAGGAUCUGUGUCAUGCUGGAUUUGUGAUGAUGAGGCUGAUGAUGAUGAUGGGAAUGAUGAGGAUGGUGGUGAUGAUGAGGAUGAUGAUGAUGUUUAGUAUUAGGGUGAUGAUGAUGAUGGUGAUGAUGAUGGUAGUGAUGAAGAUGAUGAGGAUGAUGUUUAGUAUUAGGGUGAUGAUGAGGCUGAUGAGGAUGAUGGGAAUGAUGAGGAUGGUGGUGAUGAAGAUGAUGAGGAUGAUGUUUAGUAUUAGGGUGAUGAUGAUGAUGAUGAUGAUGAUGAUGUUUAGUAUUAGGGUGAUGAUGAUGAUGAUGAUGAUGAUGAUGUGAAUGAUGAGUCCAGUUAUGAUUCAAACAUUUCCAACAUCUCCAGUGUUGUAAAGAGUCAAAAUGUAUUUAAAUAAACCCAGAAGUUCUCAUUUUGAAAAUUAAAAAACGUUUUUAAUCUCACGAGAUAAUCCGCUUCCAUCAUAUUUGUUGGUAUUCGGCCUUAAUCCCCUUUAAUGUUUGUUCUUUUCUCCCAGUCAAAUAAAUCCUUUGUUGUUUCAUUUGAAUGACAGCUCCUAAAGACACGCCCCUUUGUGGGUUGUGUUAG